rnacentral:rRNA from 1 species
GAUGAACGCUGGCGGCGUGCCUAAUACAUGCAAGUCGAGCGAACAGACGAGGAGCUUGCUCCUCUGACGUUAGCGGCGGACGGGUGAGUAACACGUGGAUAACCUACCUAUAAGACUGGGAUAACUUCGGGAAACCGGAGCUAAUACCGGAUAAUAUAUUGAACCGCAUGGUUCAAUAGUGAAAGACGGUUUUGCUGUCACUUAUAGAUGGAUCCGCGCCGCAUUAGCUAGUUGGUAAGGUAACGGCUUACCAAGGCGACGAUGCGUAGCCGACCUGAGAGGAUGAUCGGCCACACUGGAACUGAGACACGGUCCAAACUCCUACGGGAGGCAGCAGUAGGGAAUCUUCCGCAAUGGGCGAAAGCCUGACGGAGCAACGCCGCGUGAGUGAUGAAGGUCUUCGGAUCGUAAAACUCUGUUAUUAGGGAAGAACAAAUGUGUAAGUAACUAUGCACGUCUUGACGGUACCUAAUCAGAAAGCCACGGCUAACUACGUG